rnacentral:rRNA from 1 species
UACGGAGGGUGCUAGCAUUAAUCGGAAUUAUUGGGCGUAAAGGGCGCGUAGGCUGUUUGGGAAGUCAGAUGUGAAAUUUCAGAGCUCACCUCUGAAGCUGCAUUUGAGACUCCCAGACUAGAGGAUAGGGCGGAAGAAAACGGGAAUUCCACAUGUAGCGGUGAAAUGCGUAGAGAUGUGGAAGAACACCUGUGGCGAAAGCGGUUUUCUAGCUUAUUCCUGACGCUGAGGCGGCGAAGAGCAAGGGGAGCAAACGGG